rnacentral:tRNA from 1 species
UCGCGCUUCGGCGCCGCCUUCCCCACGCCCGCCUUCAGCUUCUUCUCCAGACCGCGCAUCACCCGCGUCAGCAG